rnacentral:rRNA from 1 species
CUAGGCUUGACAUGCAGAAGACGUUAUCAGAGAUGAUAAUUCCCUUCGGGGCUUCUGCACAGGUGCUGCAUGGCUGUCGUCAGCUCGUGCCGUGAGGUGUUGGGUUAAGUCCCGCAACGAGCGCAACCCUUAUCGUUAGUUGCCAACAGUUUCGGCUGGGUACUCUAACGAGACUGCCUGGGUUAACCAGGAGGAAGGCGAGGAUGACGUCAAGUCCGCAUGGCCCUUAUGUCUAGGGCUACACACGUGCUACAAUGGUCGGUACAAAAGGCAGCAAAGCCGCGAGGUAGAGCAAAUCCUAUAAAGCCGAUCCCAGUUCAGAUUGUAGUCUGCAACUCGACUACAUGAAGUUGGAAUUGCUAGUAAUGGCGAGUCAGCAACAUCGCCGUGAAUACGUUCC